rnacentral:misc_RNA from 1 species
GUGAAACUGACAUUCUUUAUCCUUGACCAUCAUUAGCAUGGUGGGAGGAUACAUUGUGCAGCUGAGAACGUGUCAGGCGUUAGGCGAAAUACGUUCAUUGAAGCACAAGCUACAACCUGCUGGAGCAAAGAUGGUUUCUGAUUUACAAGUUGUGAUCUCCAUUCUGAAUGCUAUAUGGUGCUUUACUGUUAACAGAGCCUUGUUGGCUUUCGGGGGAAGAAUAGGGAGGGUUGCCUCGUGCAAUUUUGAGCUUCUAUAGCGGUUACUGCACUUUUAAGUUUGAUAACUUAGUUGUUACCAUUUUUGCUGUACAAUAUUGACUUGACUACAGAUUAGCGAUUGAUAUAUGAUGGUAUGA